UGGGGAAUAUUGCACAAUGGGCGCAAGCCUGAUGCAGCCAUGCCGCGUGUAUGAAGAAGGCCUUCGGGUUGUAAAGUACUUUCAGCGGGGAGGAAGGGAGUAAAGUUAAUACCUUUGCUCAUUGACGUUACCCGCAGAAGAAGCACCGGCUAACUCCGUGCCAGCAGCCGCGGUAAUACGGAGGUUGCAAGCGUUAAUCGGAAUUACUGGGCGUAAAGCGCACGCAGGCGGUUUGUUAAGUCAGAUGUGAAAUCCUCGGGCUCAACCUGGGAACUGCAUCUGAUACUGGCAAGCUUGAGUCUUGUAGAGGGGGGUAGAAUUCCAUGUGUAGCGGUGAAAUGCGUAGAGAUGUGGAGGAAUACCGGUGGCGAAGGCGGCCCCCUGGACAAAGACUGACGCUCAGGUGCGAAAGCGUGGGGAGCAAACAGG
rnacentral:rRNA from 1 species